UCAGAAAUUAAUUAGCACUUCUCAAAUUUCUACAUUAAAUAGGUUAAAUCAAUUAACCUAUGAGCUGUUCAAAACGUCUUACGCGAUGAGAAAACUUAGUAUGGGGUGAUUUCGGUCCUUGCGAGGCGCUACCUAUAUCUAUUAAACAAAGGAAGAUUUGUCUGCAUCCGCACUCCAAGAUGUUGUUGCACUGCUAUGUCAACAUCAUAAGGCUGUAGACUCUCAAACUGCUCUGCAAACAAAGUUACGUCAUCGUUCUGCGCAACAGUGAACUCGCAACAAAGCAAUAGUUCGAGAUAUGGCCACUAGGUGACAACACAUACCUUGAGUGAAGAGCAAAUCAAGGGUGCUAAUUAAUUUCUGACGGUAGUGUAUAUAUAUAUAUAUAUAUAUAUAUAUACACGACGGGCUUCUUUCAGUUUCUUUGUACCAAAUCCAUUCACAAGCCUUUGGUCGGCGGGGAGCUAUAGUAGAAGACACUUCCCCCAAGGUGCUACGCAGUGGGAUUGAACCCAGAACCAUGUGGUUGUGACUUUCUUUUUUCUUUGAAGGGAACAAUUUGUAGAGAAAUAAAUUUCAACUUUAUUUGUACGUGUAUAUAUAUAUAUAUAUAUAUAUAUAUAUAUAUAUAUAUAUGCGUGGAGGCGCAAUGGCCCAGUGGUUAGGGCAGCGGACUCGCGGUUUCGAUUCCCAGACCAGGCGUUGUGAGUGUGUAUUGAGCGAAAACAUCUAAAGCUCCACGAGGCUCCGGUAGGGGGGGCUGGCGAUCCCUGCUGUACUCUUUCGCCAUAGCUUUCUCUCAUUCUUUCUUCUGUUGGCCUGCUCGCUUAGCCAGCGGGGUGGCGUCAUUUGAAGGUUAAAACAAUGCGAAGCGCAUUGUAUAGCAACAUCUGAUAGCCUGGUCGGUCAUAGUGAUCACGGUGAUAUAUAUAUAUAUAUAUAUAUAUAUAUAUAUAUAUAUAUAUAUAUAUUCAGUCUGUAGAAUGCUCAGAAGGGAUACAAUGUGAAAAUGUUAUACCUUUGAAUUACAGUGACAUUCCCUUCUUUGGAACUCGUCAUAUUUCUGUCUACUCGUUUCACUCAUUAGCAAGAUCGAGCUGAGGCCACAAAAACAACACCCAAGAUGUGACUGGGAUCCAAACCAUGUCCCCGAGAUUGCGAAACAAAAUAACUAACAAAUUCUACCAUACAGCAUCAUAUAUAUGUAUGCAAGAAUAAAAGUUCUUGGUCGUGUUGUGAGUAGUAUGUUUAUUAAUGAGAAAAGUCAAGUUUAAUGGAAAUAUGGUUCGUUUAUAUGCAGAUAUAUAUAUAAAACAAAAAAUCGUAGUAUUUUCGGGAGGAAGUACAAUGAAAGGUUCAACAUAUCGUUUAGAAGUAGGGAGACAUUUCACAAAACUUUUUCUACAAAACUAAAUAAUUCUGGGAUUUUUUUCGGUUUGAACGGCAGUUUUUUCUAGCGGUGUCAUAUGAAAUUGUCAUCCAUAAUUAUGACCCUUGUAUCGAUCUAUUUUAUUUCAAUCUGUUUUAGGUUUAGUGUUAGUUAGGGUUAGUUAGGGUUACUUAGGGCUAGUUAGGGUUAGGGUUAGGGGUGGGGGAAGAAUAUCUUUUUUUCUUCACAAAUGUAAAUAAACCCAAUCUGUUUCUUAAACGAGGUACAUAUUCAUACGGCACAGAAUGUUUUUUUUACCUCAAUGGACGUCUGUGAUUGGUUGAAAUUACUGAAGUUGAAGAAUAAAAACAACAAAUAUAUUACAAACUAUAGAAAUUUCUCAAUAAAGCCAAGAGAAAAAGAUAUUUUAUAAACACAUUCUACCAGUAUACGAAGCUUAAAAUUUUUUAGUUACCUAGAAAUUAUGUUAAAAACUGCCGUUCAAACCGAAAAGAUCCUAAUUCUACUCAAAAUUUUAAAAAAUAUGACCAAAAUUUUAAAAAAAUUACUUCUUGGUAAGUCCCCGUGGCGUAGGAUGAAAGCGUUAGUCUCAAGUAUUUCCCUAGUAUUUUCUAUAUGUUUAUUCUUUUAAUCCUUGAUUUAUUUCAGUCAUUCUGAUUGUGGCCAUGAUGUUUUUUUUUUUUUUCUCUAUUUAUUUUUCUCCUUCACAAAGGUUCCGUAAAAAAGAGGUUUGUUUACGAUUGUUCUUCUUUGACCUAUUUCCUUUUUCUUUCUCUUCUACUACUCUUUCAUAACUGUAAGUGUAUUUUCUAAGUGCUCGAACAUGUGCGUGUGUUUGUGUGUAUGUGUGAGUGUGUGUUUGCGUGCAUGCGCGCGUACGUAUUUGCGUGUGUGUCUUAUGGGUGUGCAUGUGUGCAUGCGAGUGUAUGGUGUGUAUUGAUGCAUAUAUUAACUUAUAUAUCCCUACGUGUAUAUAUGUUAUAUGUCCCUGGUCGAUAUUUACACGCGUUCAGAUGCACUCAAAACCGGGUCCGUAAACCCACAGGUUUAAUAAUAAAGACGCAAACUUGCUCUAUGAUGUUGAUGACUUUCAACUGACAAGCGUUUAUGACAAAACUUUCUUGAAAUACAAGGAAUUCGACGUGAAACAAUUAGAUAAAAUUUUAAGCUCAGAUUUGCAUAAAGAGUUCACUUGAGCCGAAAAUUUGAAGACAUUUUAUAUCUGUUUAUACAUUAGGGAAGAAACGAUACCACAAUUACUUCUAAUUAAUUUCUACUCUGUGUGUGUGUGUGUGUGUGUGUGUGUGUGUGUGUGUGUGUGUGUGUGUGUGUGUGUGUGUGUGUGUGUGUGUGUGUGUGUGUGUGUGUGUGUGUGUGUGUGUGUGUGUGUGUGUGUGUGUGUGUGUGUGUGUGUGUGUGUGUGUGUGUGUGUGUGUGUGUGUGUGUGUGUGUGUGUGUGUGUGUGUGUGUGUGUGUGUGUGUGUGUGUGUGUGUGUGUGUGUGUGUGUGUGUGUGUGUGUGUGUGUGUGUGUGUGUGUGUGUGUGUGUGUGUGUGUGUGUGUGUGUGUGUGUGUGUGUGUGUGUGUGUGUGUGUGUGUGUGUGUGUGUGUGUGUGUGUGUGUGUGAUACCACAAUUACUUCUAAUUAAUUUCUACUCUGUGUGUGUGUGUGUGUGUGUGUGUGUGUGUGUGUGUGUGUGUGUGUGUGUGUGCGUGCGUUGCGUGUGUUUGCGUGUGUAUGCAUAUGUUUGCAUGUAUUUCUUCGUUGCACCAAUAUUUUAUUCCUUACUUCAAAUUUCUUUCGUCUGCCUACUUAACAUUCAGAUGAAAAUCAUGCCUGAAACGUCAAAGGCACUUCCAUUUUCUUCAUUCUUGAAUGAACUUUAAUCUAAGAAUUACGCUUCAUUUCAUCUUUCCCUUUUAUAUUAUGUCGGUGGUAAAUUUAGAAUCCAUACACACACCUACGUACGAUCACACACGCAAAUGUAGCGAGUCACAUAUAUAAAUAUAUGCCUACAUGCAUCCUUGCAUGCAUAAAUACAUUAUACUUAUAUACAUUCAUACCUAAAUAUAAAAUGCAAUCAAUUUUGUAUACAUAUAUAUAUAUAUAUAUAUAAUGCAAUCAAGUUUAUAUAUAUUAUAUAUAUAUAUAUAUAUAUAUAUAUAUGUGUGUGUGUGUGUGUGUGUGUGUGUGUGUGUUUGUACACAUACACACACACAAACACACAAAUGCAUAUACAGAUGCACGCAUAUUUGCAUUCAUAUGUACAUAAUACAUUUAUACAUACGUACCUAAAUAUAAAUUGCAAUCAAGUUUAUUUAACACACCUUAACCACUAUUAUUUAUGAUUACUAAAUAAAUUAAUAUUGAUAGAUUUGCAGCAUCGGUUGAGAUGAUAACAAAAUCCAAGUCUGAGUUCAAAUUCGUGAUAUUUUCAUUGAGGUAAAUCAGGUUUGGUUUUAAAAUAAAACUUAUGAUCAAAGUAUUCCAUUUAUGGUCAUCCUGUUCCUAUUAUUUAUUUAAUUGUUUAUUUUUAAGGUGAUAGAUGUUCUGGGAACAUUAAAUGAUAGUAUUUAAUUCGAGAUAGAUUUCGCUGAUAAUUCUUGCAAGUUGGGUGACCCUGCAGAAAAUACGUCUUAUAUUACUGAUCUCCGUCUGCCUGUCCGUAACAAUAUCUUUGUAAAGGGCGGGAAGAAAGAGAAGAAUCAAAAGGUGAGAUAACCCCUGCCACAACGUAUAUUUAAGAGGGAAUAAGUGGCGAGGAAAAGUUGUUGUCGUUGAGAGAGAGAAUACCACGUGCCUACAAGUCAUUAAUAUUUACAUACCAGCCCCAGGUAUGUAAAUUGAUAUAGCCAAUAACUUAACACUGUCGUAUGCGGUGGCUAUAUAAGCAAUAUGUUCGGAGGCAAGAGUGGGUUAAAUUGGUUCUGAUGUAGGGGCAAAACCCUCUGAAAUAUGACAUAUAUGCUCAUUACCCAUUUUUGUUUGUUUUCAUCUGAUGUCUCAAUACCAAACGUUGUAGCAAAAAUUAUCAGCGCUGGCUAAAAUUUUAAUAGAAAUAACGUUAACAAAGUAUGUAUUUACGUAUGUGUGUGUAAUAAAGUAAAAACCAGAAUUCUUGUGAAAUACAGGUAGGCAGUGUUUCCUGGCCGAAACAUUUAUUUAUAUAACCAUUUUUCAAGCUGGUAACAAGACCGUAAACUGUGUCUUUUGCUUUGAAGCUGUAGCUCGGGCCGGCGUGGUGGUCGUAUGAACUCAUGGAAUUUUCCGCUUGAUUCUUGACAGAGGUUAAGACAAGUUGGAUACUUAUGGAUAUAUCCCUUCUUGAAUGGAUCGCCGUUAAGACAGAACUCACGAAGUAGGUGAGCUACGUUUUUUCCCCAUACCACAAGCUAUUUCGGUCUUUGAGUAUUUUUUAACCCUUUUCCGAAAUUGGAAGGUGAAAGUGAUAGCCAGGCUUCAAGACAUUGAAGAUGUGGCAGGUCUCAUGUCAAUGCAUUGGCAGGAAAACGCAUUGGCGUUGUACCUCGAAAUGGACGUUUAAAUUUCAGUUUAAAUCUCAGUUUAAACUGAGAGAGAAGAAAAAGGACUGAGAGAUGUUUGUUGCUUUUCAGCUGCGAUAUACAUCAGAUCGAGGUACCUGGCACCCAUACCCUCGUGCACUCCACAGUUCAGAUUUGCAUUUCGUGCAAAGUCUGCAGCUCUAGAAGCAAAAGGAUGACAAAAUUGCAAAUGCUGCACUCAAAAGUCUUUGAAAUAUUUGUGGUACCUCUCUGAGAAACUUGUGACGCUUGCAUUUUCUGACUCAGCUGUUUCACAUGGGACAAAACAACUAAAUGACGCAUGUUUUGCAGAAACCAGUUGACUCAAAACCGAGCAAACGAGCAUCAAUAAAUCCUGAAUCAGCUGGGCAGAAACAACUUUAGGAUUUCGUUACUGCCAACACAAAAAGAUUCUUUGAAAUCCUAGAGGUGUCUUGCACUUUUCUUGAAAAAGACGCUGAAGAAUGGAAUGAUGGUGAAAGUUAUGCGAAUGCAAGAGAUAUCGCAUAUAGACUCAAAGUGGUAACCGACAUUGCGGAAAGAGGUGUACGACUGAUGGAGGAAUACACAAACUGAUAACGAAUGAUGAAGAGCAGAAACAAUAGCUUCUUCAAAUUGUUAAAAGUUACAUGUCGUUACUCACUAACAAAAACAAGAAAACAUUACUCUUGCUUCACAAAAAAAAUUAUAAAUUAUAAAGUGGUUAUGAUAUGCCUACUGAGGAAACCUCCGCAUAAAAAAAGUUAACUCACUAUACCCUGUAACUCACUACGUAUUAUAGCCUAGAAUGUCAUCGUUUUUUUUAUCAAACGGUUCCGGCGAAAAUAUCAACAAAAUAAUAUUUUUGAGCACAAACUGAUAUACAUCUAUUUUUAAAGCUUGGUAGUAACCUCUGAUUUUCUCUUUUUCAAUCCCAAAUUUCACAUAUAAUGCUUUCUUAGAAAUAUGAAUAAAAUGGGAGGGUGUCUCUCUGAAAAUUGAAAAAAAAAUUUUUUUAUCCCUUUUUGCAUCACCCUAAUACAUAUAUACACAUAUCAAAGCAAUAAAGUUAAUGUCUGAUCAUAAGAGUGACCAAUAGUUUCGCAUCCACGAAAGCUGCAACUUCGUAGACAACUCAUCAGACACUAGUCCGGAGACAAAAUUAACUCUUCACCUCACAGCGGUCGAAAUGAUCAUCAGAGAAUAAAAUAUCCGGCUAUAGUGAAGAUGGAUUAUCUCCCCUAGACCAGUUAUUUGGAGAGAGAAAUAAGAGAUUUAUCUUUUGGCCUGCUCAUGGAUCGCAAAGACUCUUCCGGGCUUAGUCAGCGAACGGGGAAUCCCGUGUUUGCGUCAUGUAGCGCUUGAAAUUGUUGCAUGGAGUAAAUAUUUCUUGGCGUGUAUUCAACGAUCCAGGUCUCAGGCUAUCUUUAAGCAUCCUUCCUCGCUCAGCUAUGCAAUGCAGAGCUUGUAGCGUCCGCUCCCGUUGUUUUAUGUGCCCGGCCUUUCUAAAAUCUUCCACUUGAUAUCGUAUGGGGUCCCUUGAUCUUUGAGGCACACGCACUGCUGGCCAGGGAUGUGACGAAUUGUCUUUGUGGGACUCUGAAUGAGAACCUGUGGUUGUACAAGCAUCGUUUGAAUGCCGUACCGGCUGAUCCGAGGAAUUUCCAGUCUCGGAUGUAGGCUAUGUUCACAUCACUCGUACAUCUCCGGGCCUGGGGAUGUUGUUUCCACCGGUGUUGUUGAGGCUGUUAUUCUUAUGACGCACGGGCCCGGCGAUGCGACUGUUGGUGCUGUCGCUGUGGCUGUUAACGUUGUGGUGGUCGUCCUCGGCCGUAGAGUUGGCGCCAUUGCCGCCGGUGGUGAUGUGCGUGCCAUUGGUGAUGUGGGUUUCGUCGAUGGUAAUGUGGGUGUGGGGUCGGUAACUUCAUCUUCUUCGGCUGUUACGCUGGUAUUGGUGCCGUUGGUGUCAGCGCUGCUGUUUGUGCCGCUGUCGCCGUCUCUGAUGCCAACGAUGAUGUUGGAUUAUCCGUUACUGCUAUUACUAUGACCGCUAUUAUAUUUCAUCUAUGAUAUAUUAUGUGCACCGGCAUAUGACUCGAUACUAAUGCAUUUAGAUGAGUGGUGUUCAUUUCGACUGUUCGAAAAUAACAACUUAAAAUGCAUGUUCUCUUUUCGUGGCGUAGAUACUGUCUCUAGGCCAUCGUGCAUGAGCUUUUUGCAAAUAGUUUCAGUGAGCUGGGGUUAUAUAAAGUGACCUAGUUCGAAUACUCAGAAACGUUCUGAGUAUCAAUGCCGCCAAGGUCGACUUUUCCUUUCAUAUUUUGGGAUCGGUAAAAUAACUAUCAGCUGGCUACUGAGUCGAUGUAUUCGACUUUCCCCACCCUAGAAAUUACUGGCCUUCAGUCAACAUUUGAAAGCAAUAAUGGGAGCAGUUUAUUCGACAGGUUUCCUCAUAGAUUUUAUCUACAAAAUUUACUGUACAAGCUUUAGAAAAAUACAAAACAAAAAAUUGAUGAUUUGUGGUGCCAAUUAGUAAACAGGAUACGGUUAGAAAAUAUUUUGUUUCCCAGUGAAGGAGUUGAUAAAGGUUUACGUUGCUGGAGGAAACUCAAAACUAUAAGGUUCUGAAAUAUACUACUUAGACUCACGGGCAGCAAUAAAAUUCGACAGAAAGUAAUACAAAAUCAAUUGCCGAAAAUAAAUGAAUAAAUAAAGAGUAAAUUCAAAUUUCGAUUUUUUUUGUUAUUUUUUUCUUUUACUUGUUUCACUCUUUUAACUGCGGUCAAGCGGGAGUAUUACCUUAAAGAGUUAUUGGUCGAAGAAAUAUUUCCAAGCGCCGUACUUCUAUCAGUUUCUUUUGCCGAGCUGAUAAGUUACAAAGACGUAAGCACAUCAACAUCGGUUGUCAAGCGAUGGUGGUGGGGAGCAAACACACACGCGCGCGCACGCACAAACAAACAAACAAACAUAUAUAAUAUAUAUAUAUAUAUAUAUAUAUAUAUAUAUAUAUAUAUAUAUAUAUAUAUAUAUAACAGGCUUCUUUCUUACAGUUUCCGUCUACCAAAUCCACGCACAAGGAUUUGGUCGGCCCGAGACUAUAGUAAAAGGCGCUUGCCUAAGGUGCCACACAGUGGGACUGAACCCGGAACCAUGUGGUUGAGAAGCAAGUUUCUUACCACUCAGGCAUGCCUGCGUGUAAUUGAAAUCAUGAUUUAUUUUCGUAUGUUAUCGAAAUAAUUCGAGAAGAUCUAGGGGCUGAAUCACUGUACUCUCUGGUUAUAAACCGAGUUAAUGAGUUAGCGGGAUUGUGUGUGAGUAGUUCGGUAAAUAUAGGAGUAUAGUCAGCAAGUAUCUUUUUGUAUAUGAAUCGCUGAUACUGAAGCGUGUUGAAUAUCAUGCGAUUCAGUGAAGAAGUUAAGGUGAAAUGACUGAGAAAGCAUUCUUUAGUUGAGUGAGAGUAUGUGAGAGUGUGUCUAUGUGAGAGUAGGUACAUGUGAAUGUUUGUAUACUUGAGUGUACUUGUAUGAGUGUGUCGGUAUGAGUGUUUAUGUGAGUGUAGGUGUAUGUGCGUCUAAUAUCUCUUUAUAUGCGUCUCCAUGUGACUGUUGGAAUGGUUUCACUUUUAUUUUCAGUCUACGUUUUAUCAGUAAGAAUAAAGUGGAAAACUAAUUUAUAUUUGAAUUAAUUAACAAAAUAAUGAAUAAAUGACGUAUAUUUAUAGAACGCGAAAAAGUUUAAAUGUCAGAGUCAGAAAGACUGCAGAUUAGGGCGAUGGAAAUUGUAAGAAAUUACUGUAUCCCAUGCAUAACAGGAGCCACCGUAAUUUAAUUGACAGAAACACAGAAGAAUAAUGAGUUCCAGGUCAGCUCUUUCGUAAACUAUGAGAAACAAACCAAAAAGAUUCAUGUAAUGUCUUUGAGUGCUGACGUUGUAUUAACAAAAUGUAGAACAAUCUAUAACUUAUGGGGAAAUGAUUGUUAGCUGAACAGGAAACUUGCGAUAAGUUUGGAAACAGCAGGAGAACAAUGCCAAGAAAUUUGAGGGAAUAGGAAAAAUGGUAAUUAUCCCUUUCUGACCAAUACUAACCUCUUUAUACAAUUUCAUAUAAAAUUAUUGUUGCCGUUGUCAUGACUCUUGCUGUUGUUUUUACUACUGUUUUUUUCCGAGUUUUCUGUUAUUGUCAUUGUUGUUCUUUUAUGUUGUUGCUGUUGUUUUUGUAACUUGUUGUUAUUAUUUAUUAGUUUCCAGUUGUCCGUGGUAGAGAAGACCUAUAAUCAAGGCCAGCAGAGGUAUGAGCAAAACAAAAUACAUUACAGGCUGUAUUUUUUGUAAUUAUAUAUCUAAAAGUACACUAUUAAAACUGCUCGUUUUUUAAAGACAAUAAAACGUCGUUUCAAGAACAUUUAUCUGCUUUUUCGCACAAGUCGAGUAAUUAGAUAGAGUCUAACUGACUGAUUCCUGUAUUCAGGUAUAUACAUGGGAAGUGUUCUGUCAAAUAGACAGCACACUUCCCACGUAUAUUUCUAUUAUUUCAACGAGCACAGAAAGAUAAUAAGCGAAGGUCCACCAUUCUACAGAAAUGUUGGUGAAUAACAAGCCAAUAAAUUAGACAUACAUACAUAUAUAUAUAUAUUAUUUAUAUUUAUAUUUAUAUAUAUGCAUAUGAAUAUAUAUGUAUGUAUAUAUAUUAUUUAUAUUUUUGCAUAUGAAUAUAUAUGUGUGUAUAUAAAUAUAUAUAUAUUCUACUUUCUAAAAAUAAGGUCUCAUUUUCCUCAUAUGACCGAUCUUCUUACGAAAAGACAAGAAACGUUAAGUAAUGUAUUUGUACAUCCUAGAUCCAUACUGCUUGAGUUUAUUUUUUCUCGUACUACCCCGUUUACCAGUUCACCUUUCUGAAUUGCCUCCACCCAAAGUAUUUUUGCGUACAGCACAAUGUAUUACGUGUCAUCUGCAGCCUUAUAUUUCUUAUUAGCCACCUUAAAAUCAAUAUUAAAGAAAAUCUAGUAAAAGCAGCAUGAUUAAUGAUAAUAAAUUUUAGAUUUAAAGGUAAUUAUUUUUUCAUUAAUGUCUCGAAUUUCUCUCCAUUUAAACAUUUGUGCCUAGAAAAACGAUAUGGUCACAGCUGGAAUGUCUUCCAUCAUAGAUAUAUUUUAUUAAUGCUAAUGAGCAAAAACUACUGAAAAUUAUUAUUUGUAAUUGUGACCCAACACAAGUUCUUUGGGAAGAUCGAAGAUGACUUAAUUAAUUGUAUGUAAAGUAAUUAAUCGUAAUCAACUGAUGCUAUUUUAUUAAUCCUAUGAACAACAAAAUCAAUUUGGGUGCUGGGAUUUAAUUUCAGUAAACAAAAGGUUAUAACUUAGUAUCUGCCACUUCAACAACUUAACUUCGUUUUCUCUUGGUAGAUGAAUAUCUUGAACAAAGCAUAUUCAAUAGCAUUCUUUGAACUUCUCAACAAUACUGUAUUAGGACGAGUGUCAGUAUUCGGAAUACGGUGAAAGCCAUCACAAUCCCAUUUAUUUCUAUCAAUGAUAUUGAGUUACAAGCAUUAGAACUAAUUAAAACACGCACAAGGAAUUCGUUGUGUGAUUGGGAUAUAAAUCUACGUUGUAGAAUUUCUAAGGAAAAAUGGCAAAUGCCGUAUAUCUUAAUGCGUUCAUUGAAGAUAAAUGUACAUUAUAACCCAGUAAGGUAGUGAACGAAAGAGAACAAUAUAUUAUAUGUUCCCAAGAACCUAACGAUAAUAGCUUUAUUUUCCUUUCUGCAAAAUGAAGGUUAAGACCCAAAAUGGUAGAUUCCUCAUUCCUGACAACAACUUGCUGUGUCAAACUAUUCUAUAACCUAUCCUAAGAGUGACACUCCCGACGUGUAGAGAUUGCUAAAUGGUUUCCAAUCCCAUUUGAUUUUCACGCAGUUAAUACUCUUUGACAAAGUAAUAAAUUCACACAACCCCACCAUGCAAUUCAUAAAAUAAUCCUAAACCUUCUUAUUGCAUGCAGCAUGUUUUGGCAAGUUUAUUAAUAUUUCCACACUUCACUAUAUAGAGAUUUUGAAAUUUGAGUUUACAAUUCUUUUAUAUGUGAAAUUAGAAUGGUGCCUGACUUUAUAUCCUACAGUAUUCCAACCGCAGAAGCAUUUAAAAAGAAGAAAAAAGAAGAAAAAAAAAACACGAUGAUUUUGCACAAUUUUAUUUCACUUAAAAAUUUUACUUUAAUCGUUAACUGAAACAAACGUGUGUAAAAUCAUGCGAGUCAUUGGUGAUGACAAUAUUUUAACCAGUGAAACUCUUACUUUUGAAAGUGCCUAAUUCAUAUGGAUGUACGUGUGACUAAGUCACAUUAAGAAUAUCAUUUUCUAGUCAAAAAUUAUCACAAUAGGAAAUGUGAAUAAGCGUUUGCAUAUACUCACACAAAACAAAUAUAAAUACAGAUAUUCACACACACUUAUACAUACAUAUGCAUACAUACUUAUAUGCAUGCAUGCAUAUAUAUAUAUAUAUAUAUAUAUAUAUAUAUAUAUAUAUUAUUUAUAUUUAUAUUUAUAUAUAUGCAUAUAAAUAUAUAUGUGUGUAUAUAUAUAUUAUUUAUAUUUAUGCAUAUGAAUAUAUAUAUAUAUAUAUAUAUAUAUAUAUAUAUAUAUAUAUAUAUAUAUAUAUAUAUAUAUAUAUAUAUAUAUAUUAUUUAUAUUUAUGCAUAUGAAUAUAUAUAUAUAUACACAUAUAUAUAUAUACAUAUGUAUGUAUACAUACAUACAUAUGUAUGUAUGUAUAUAUAUAUAUAUAUAUGUAUAUAUGAUUACUACAUUGAGGAAUAUUCUGACAACAUUUGUUACGAUUUCUCCUGUCUCUAUUGUACAUUUUAAUCUCUCCAACCAUAAUUAUAAUGUAUUUGGAAUUUUUGUAUUAUAAUUGCAUAUUUCUGUUAAGUCUAUGAACGCUUAUCAUACGUUCGACACCAAAGUAGGAAUAUAUUUCAUUUUCUAAUGAACAAUGAGAAAUUUCGGCUCCAUGCAAAUAUCUAUUAUCACAGUGCUUACAACAUGUCAUCAACUGGCUUAACAAGGUAGCAACACAUUUUACCAUUGUUAGUACGUAUUACGUCAGAAUGAAAACGAAAAUUCAUAACAAAGAAUAAAUAUUUGAAGAAAGAAAAUUAGGGAAUGAUACGUUUAUUGCUAUUGUCCUCUUUGGUAUUGUUGUGUAACUAACUUAACAUGAAAUAACAUGAGUAAAAUAGAUCUUCGUAAACAUUUAUCUUCAGACACUCAGAUACUAUUUUUGGUGUUCUUAAAUGUAUGCAUAUAUGUAUGUUUGCAUGUAUGUGUAUGUAUAUAUAUAUAUAUUUAUAUAGACGGAAAACGUAUAUGAGUCUCUUAGUGUCGUUUUGUCUUUUUGUUAUGUGUGUAUAUGCAUGCAUGCACACAUGUAUGUUUGUGUGUGUUUGUAUGUAUGUGAGUAUGUAUGUAUGCAUGUAUGCAUGUAUGCAUGUAUGCAUUAUGUAUGUAUGCAUGUAUGCAUUACGAGGGUUCCUUAAACGUUCCUGGCUUUAAUUGUGUCCCGAAAGGUCUGGUUGCAGGCCCAACCUUCCGAGUCUUUUUUUUUUUUUUGCAGGGCUUAGAAAAACCAAAGGAGUGCUGCAGUAGGUGUGUAAAUCUGAGAGGGGAAUAUCUUUAAAUAAAGUCAUUAACUGAUCCUCCAGUAUACUCUUGUACUAAAGUAAGGAUGUUUUCAGCAACCCAUAGUAUAUGUAAGUCGUGAUGCACACAUGCGUCACAGACAUACAUCUUUAAAUUAAAAUAUUAAGUUUCAUUUAUGAUAUUAAGGUUACCGAAAAUAAUUAUUUUUUCAAGUAAAUAGUCUGACAUCAUACCACAAGAGGAUAUGCGUCAAAAUAUCAAAGAUUUUUCCCGGGCGAUUAAUUAACCUUGGUCUGGUGUGCACAAUUAUUUCAAGCAAACUUGGGAAAGUGUGUAGAGAAGCGAAGAGGGCACAACAGAAAGGAUGUCAUCUUGCAACAUUAUAAUGCCAAGCCACAUUCAAUGAAGUUCACUCAAAAAAGAUGUAUUUAUUAAAUUGGGAAGCUCUACCUACAACUCCCUACUUGCUAGACCUAUCCCUAUCAGAGUUUCACUCAUUCAGUCUACUUGAACAAUUUAGCAAUGCAAAGCAUUCAGAAGUAGGGACAAUAUAAAAACGAGGCUCCUAACAUAUUUUCUCUUCUAAAGAAUCUGAUUUCAUUUUUGUCCGAGGAAUCAAACUCAUUUCCAAGUACGAAAAUAUUGUUGCUAACGACGGCGAUUUUCAAUGAAUAAAUAUAUUUAUGAUAACAUGUUAUAACUGUACUAAAUUUCAUAUAUUCGUGAGAUGCUUCUAGUUUGUUUGAAAUUGUUAAAUUCACCAUCAAAUUUCCCAGAACUUCACAACCUCAUCAGCAGGAUAAAGUGAUGCUUGACUGUGUCAUGACCUCUUACUGAAGUCGAUGCAAUUAGUGUAAACAUUACCACCAGAAUUUAAAUCUUGACAGUUACGUCAUCACUACGAGGUUUAUUCAUGAUUGCGUCCAUAUAUAUUUUGUCACAGCAUUUAUUUGCAUAUAGUGUUGCUCCUCCAGUUUUGCUUCCAAAAAUAAUCGUUUAUAUGUAACUAGCAGUAUCGCCCGGCGUUGCUCGGGUUUGUAAGGGAAAUAACUAUAUAAGCAUUUUUAGAGAUGUAAACUAUAAUAGCCAUCUCAAUAUGGCUAACCACAAAGGGGGGGGUGUUACUGUAGCUUUUUACGUUUUGAGAUUUAAUAAUAAAUUUUUAGAGAGUUACUUCCCUUAUAUAAUAGCAAAAAAAUGCAUUAAAAAUGGGAAAAAAUUAUGGUAAUUUUUUUUAAAUCGUAGACUCAUGGUAGACGUGCGCUAAUACCCAGAAGGGCACGAUAUGAAUCACGACUAUAAGAUACCCGCUUUUGGUUAAACUGCACUGCAAAAUGUGGGAGUAGUUAGGAAUCUAAAUCGUAGGAGACAGACACACAACUUCACUUUUAUAUAUAAAGAUGUGUAAUUCUGCUGAGUAUGGAUACACUAUUAUUAAUAUUUUAUGCUGUGGAUGUGCUUUGUGUUGUGUACUGAAGCAUUGUAAUAUCUCCUUUUUGUAAAUGCAUAGUGAGCCGCCGGGAGAGUGCCGUACUUGUAUGACCAAUAUCACAGGUACAGUUAAGAAUCUUAUUACGUUUGCAUUUAAAAUCGUUCUUACACAUUACCCAAAAUUUUUUAACCGAUUGACAUGUAUGGUUCAGGAGAAAGUGUCUAAUUUUAGUACUUUUGGACUAUAUCAUUAGCUCCCAUUUAUCGUUCGAUGACAUGAAUCUCGUGGUCCGUUUUAGAAUGUUUUCGAUAUCCUCAUCUAAUCUUCAAUUGGAAUUUAUUUGCAAUAUAUUAUAAAUAACAUGUUGGUUAUGCAGUGUGUUCUUGUAAUGUUCGAUUGCUUGGGCUAUUAGUAAUUUUCAGAAUGACUACUGUUUAAUUUAUGCAGUCAGUCAUAUGUAUAUCUAUCUAUAUAUGUAGUAUUAUAUAUAUAUAUAUAUAUAUAUAUAUAUAUAUACAUAUAUACAUAUAUAUACAUAUAUACAUAUAUAUAAUAUAUAUAUAUAUAUAUAUAUAUAUAUAUAUAUAUAUAUAUAUAUAUAUAUAUACGUAACAGUGACUGUGUGGUAAGUAACUUGCGUGGCAAUCACAUGGUUUCGGGUUCAGUCCCACUGCGUGGCAACUUGGGCAACGUCUUCUACUAUAGCCUCGGCCCGACUAAAGCCUUGUAAGUGGAUGUGAUAGACGGAAACUGAAAGAAUCCCGCCGUAUAUGUGUGUGUGUAUGUGCGUAUGUGUGUGUAUAAAUAUAUAUAUAAAUAUACAUAUUUAUUUUUAUAUAUAUAUAUAAAGAUAUAUAUUUAUAUAAAUAUGUGUGUGAGUGUAUAUAUAUAUAUAUAUAUAUAUAUAUAUAUAUACACACUCAUACAUACACAAUAUACUGCAUAUACUUAUGUAUAUAAUAUAAUAUAUCAUUCAACUACGGUAGUAGUUGAAUAAUAUUCUUAAGGACGCAAUUUACUCACACGCAGAACCUUUCAGACCCUCUAACUAAUUCAGUUCAUAACCAAAUUGAGAACUGUUAACAUUUUUGAAAAGGACUUGUACCUAGCUACAUUUUGGCAUAAACAAUUGAGAUUUGAUCCAGUAGAAAAAAAGUUUACAUCGAAAUUUGUAGCAACAAUAGAGGAGAGUAAGUAAUGACACCAAACAUGUUUAGAUCUAAAUAACUUUUUUUUUUUAAUUUUAAAAGCAAAAUAUAUUUAUCUUAGCUUCAAUGAUAGCAGAAAGCAUGAAGAAUUUCAUAGUUUUAUUCCCAUGCAACAAAAAUGUGUAUGAAAAAUUUGUGAGGUAAAAUAUCAUGAAAAAAUAAAAUAAGGCAAAAGAUUGGCUUUAAGUAUAAUUAAUUUUUAGAGUUCAAUUCCUGGAAUUUCUUGGUAUCAAUCUCUUGCAAUGAAGUUUUAAAAAUAAAGCGUUAUGAGUAUUAGUUUGUCAAAUUUGAAGGUGAUACUAUAGUUCAAUACAUUUGACACAUCAUUAAUUAACAUGAUAGCAUAGCCUGGAAAAAACAUGGAUUACAUAGAAAAAUGCGAGCAAGAGAAAUAAUAUUCUUAACAUUGUAAACCUAUUUCUUUACUACCCACAAGGGGCUAAACACAGAGAAGACAAACAAGGACAGACAAACGGAUUAAGUCGGUUACAUUGACCCCAGUGCGUAACUGGUACUUAAUUUAUCGACCCCGAAAGGAUGAAAGGCAAAGUCGACCUCGGCGGAAUUUGAACUCAGACCGUAACGGCAGACGAAAUACGGCUACGCAUUUCGCCCGGCGUGCUAACGUUUCUGCCAGCUCACCGCCUUAUAACAUUGUAAACCUAGGAAACUACAGGACAAGUUAUUACACUUCAAAAUGUUCAGGACUGCUUAUUAGAUCUGGUAAAGUAUAGAACAAGAAAAUUGUUAUCAAGGUAUUACACCUAAGCAUAAAAUUUGUAUAUUAAAAAUUAUUAGAUUUUAAUUUUGAUUUACAAAGUAACAUUAUAAUUAAAAAAAGGUACCAUCAUUUUGUUAAAGUAUUGGCACACUAGAAUACUUUUAAAAUGAAUGCCAGAAGUACCAACAUAGCAAAAGUUUUAUGCAAAGUAGAAUAGUAUAUAUGGUAGGCAAAUUCAUUAAGUAAAAAAUAGGCAAGACUAAAAAUGUGACGACAAUAGGCUAUAUUUCAAACAAAAUUUAUCGUGAGUUUGUUAUUAUAGAUAGAUUUUACUGUAGUAUAUAACUGUAUUAUUCUAUUUAUUGUACUAACUAAUUAUGUACUACUAUUAUCUUAUAACCUAUUUUCAAAUUUCUAAUUAUUUUGUGAAGUAUACGUAAUAAUUUAAUUGAGUUAUUUAUUAUUUUUAAUUGAAGUAACAAGUAAUAACAAAUAGAAAUAAUAACUUUAAUAAGAUUUUUAAUUUUAAUAAAAGCUAAUAUUUUCUAAAUCUAAAUAUUUUAUUUGAAAUUUUAUCCUUAGCUGCAAUGAUUUAAGUAUAAAUUUUCUUGUUCUGUACUUUACCAGAUGUAAUAAGUUGUCAUGAACUUUUCCAGGUUUAUGAUAUUAAGUAUAUUAUUUCUCUUGCUCGCAUUUUCCCAUUCAAUCAUAUAUAUUAUACACAUAUAUACAUAUAUUACUUAUAUAGUAUAUACUUUUAAAUUCGUGUGUGUUUGUGUAUGUGUACGUAUGUGCAUAUCUGCUUCACAUCUGUCCUAUAAUGGCAUUACAAUUUCGUUGAAUUAUAACUAUUACGAAACCAUAUAUAUGUCUCAAAAAAGUUGUAUCUAACUACAAUAACAUAGAAUCUGUACCACGCUUGGUAAAGAAAUCAAAUAAAACAGAGUAAGCAAACAUAUUAACGAGCGAUCGACAACAUAUGAUCAUUACAGGGGAACAUGCCACGUCAGCAGCCUGUCGGAUAUCAUCGUGAUUUUGACAACUUAAGGCAGUACCAUUAAUUGUAAAUUUGGCAAAGUGAAAUAGUCUCAAGAAAAAAUGUCUAACCCUAUUAGGAAAAUAUACUCAAGAUCCCUGAAACAAAUUUUGAACACCAACGAAAUUAAACAUAUAAAUAAUUAAUAAAUACUAAUAAAUCAACUUAUAUAUUACAGAUACUAAUAAAUGAAACGUAAAUAUACUAUGACAAGCUAUAAUGCGUACCCAAUAUUCCUACACACAUACAGACACAUAGGAAUACUAUGCAUUGUCAUACACAAUACUUUCUUGAUUUUUCUUAAAAUUUCUUUCUGAAAAGGAAGCAGAUGACAAAAUGACUUAGUGGUAUUUGUCAGUGACUUCAAAGAGCCGGGAGGUCAUGUAAAGAACUUAAGAAUUUCGCAGAUUAAUUUCUGUGCGAGUGGAAAAACAAUUUGCCAGAGAAGAUACUUACGUAGCGUUUUGUUAGAAUCUGUUUCUUUGAACCUAAAGAUGUUAUUACUAACGCAAACAAUGUACUUACAAAACAAUAUUUGUGUACAAGGGCUAUUAUAUGCGACUUUUUACUAAAAUAAUAAUGUAUUAGUGUUCAGUGUAUAUUAUAUUUUAUCUGUUAUGGCAUUCACACAAAUGUAAACACUGAUGUGUGUGUGGAUGUAUACACACACACAUACAUACAUAUACAUACAUACAUGUAUGUAUACAUACAAACAUAUAUAUAUAUAUAUAUAUAUAUAUAUAUAUAUAUGUUUAUAUAUAUACAAUAUGUAUGUAUGUAUACAAUAUGUAUGUAUGUAUAUAUAUAUAUAUAUGUUUGUAUGUAUACAUUUAUGUAUGUAUGUAUAUAUAUAUAUAUAUAUAUAUAUAUAUAUAUAUAUAUAUAUAUAUAUAUAUAUAUAUAUACGCGUAUGCAUACAUACAUACAAAUGUACAUGUAUCAUUUAAAUCAGUGUUUACAUUAAGAUUCUCUACUUUGAAGAUUCCUCUUUGAAUGAAGCACUAAAUUCUAAAAUGUAUUGAAAAUAAUUGUAUGCCUUGUAAGAAGGAAAGUAAUGUGUAUUCAAUAAUGAAAGCAUUAUUGUAGUUCUAUUUUACUUUCUGAAACUUUUAAAAUCUCUUGUUUCUUGCUUUAUCUUUCUUCCUCGGAUAUAAAGCCUCGCUGUUUCUUUGAAGCCAAGGAAGAGGUGUAAGAGGUGGGGAGAAAAACACUACCUCAUUAUUAGUUAGUAAUAAAGAGAAGAAAAGUGGCAAAUACAUAAGAUCAAACAAAAUAAUAUGUGAGUUUGUGGAUAGGUCUCACGUACGUAUGCAUGAAACACAUGCUGCUUUUUUUCUUUCACUUACAAAUCUUCCAUUUACAGUAGCGUAUUAUAAAACUUUUCGAUUAGUUUCCGGAGGGGGCAAUAAACACAUAUACAUGCGCGCACACAAACACUCAUACACCCACAUACACACACAUACAUACAUAUAUGUGUGUUUGUAUGUGUAUGUACCUAUCUAUUUGUAUGGAAUUAUUUGCAUGUAUCCUUAUAGUGGAACCUCAUUAAACCGUAUUAAUAGGCGGAGAGUGUCCAUUUAAACCGAUCUUUUAAUAUUAUAUUCUUCAAUGGUAUUAGAAAUAUUUACAUUCUAUAUUGUAUAUGAUAAUUUAUAGCAAAAUUUUAGAAAACACUGCCAACACCAUAUAGAUACCUGAUACAUUUUAUAUCAUUUCAUAUGAUAAUAUGUAAACAUUAAAAUGCUGAUAUCAUUAAUUUCAAAUAUCAUUUACCUGAUAAAUGACGUGAGAUUCAUAUGAUGGUAAUGGCGGUUGUAGUGGGAUUGUUGAGGUGGGGUGUAUUAUAGACAAAAGGUAAGAAUGUGUCAACAGUUGGCUCAUCUUCAGUUAGCUUAAUAGCUGUAACAAAGUUAUAACAAACCGGGUUCAAGAACGAGCCUAGUUUCAGUUGAUAUUGCUUCUGGAUAUUCUUCUCUGAGCUCAUCUUAUUGCUGGAUAUCCGCUCCUCAAGUGAUCACAGAAUACAAGGUAAUAUGGGUACGUUGGAAAAUGGAUACUGUUUUCAUCAUUUUCACUGCCUCAGCCGUCACCAACGAAAACAUCUGCUGCUUCUUUUGUCAGCACUUAGUGUCAAUGGCCAUCCACUGAGUCUUCUACCCAUGUCUAACGUCAUCUUCUGUGGUAUUUACUUUGUCGAGCUGCCCUCUGAAAAUAUACGAAUACAGACGUAAGUGUGUGUGUGUGUGUGUGUGUGUACGUGCAUGUUCGUACACACACAUAUGUAUGCUUGUAUGUAUGUGUGUAUGUGUGUGUGCGUGUAUAACACGUAUGAGGCACUCGCGUCGGUGAAAUGUAAAAGACACUCAGUACACUCCGUGGAGUCGAUGGUGUUAGGAAGGGCAUCUAAUCAUAGAAACCAAGCCAAAACAGAUUUUCAAACCCGGUGUAGUUCUCCAGCUUACCAGCCCCUGUCAGUGGUCUUAAACAUGCAAACAUGGAAAAUAUUAGGUUGUCCCAAAAGUUCGUAAACACUUGCGAAAAUUGAAUUUUUACUCGCCAAGUACUAACAAAAACAACAAAAAUUAUUCCUCAAAUUAAAGACCAUUAUUUUCCAAGACUUUCUACGAACUUUUGGGACAACCUUAUAGAUGAUAACUGAUGUUGAGGAUGAUGAUGAUGAUGAUGAUGAUGAUGAUGAUGAUGAUGAUGACGAUGAUGGUGAAGAUAAUGAUGAUGAUGUGUGUGCUUGUGUGUGUGUGAAGAAUUCUGGUACAACACAAUCUAGCAUCCGAUUGAGAAGAAUCCUUGAAAAUAUUGUGAAUUAUUUCUUCUAUAAAGAAACAAGAAUGGCAUUCCUCUGAUCUUAUGGGAAUCUACUUUUCGUGCACAUUGUGUGACAUAUUAUAGAUGAACGUACCAGUAAUUCAUCAGUGACAACACCAACAUUCCCAAAGGUCUUCCCGAUAUUCAUCCAUUUUACAGCAACCAUUAUUUUAUUAUUAGUUGGUGGAGAAUCAAGCCUGUGAAUCACGAGUAUCUGUGAUAACAGGACUUAAUACAACCUCACAGUUCAAGACAAACCCUAAAACGCUGCCACCACCUGACAUAGAUUUCGCCUUGCUUGCGUUACUGCUCAUCACCAUUCUUCGCUCGUAGAAGGGCAAAGAUGAAAGAUGGUAGGGUACUGACUACACGCAGCAGGUGGUAGAGAGAUUUUGAAUAUUGUUUGUCUGCAAAUGUCUGAAUUUAGUGGAUUUUCUGUCAUUCACAACUCUCACUGGACCUUUGCCUUUCACACUUUCAAAAGCUUUCUCCAUUUUAUUAUGGCCCGGUAUAGAACAAUGGAACAGUGAGUCAAAAGUCUUUCGUCUGCCUUCAAUAAAUAUCAACGUAGUGAAAGCAGCUCCAUAGAGUUAUUUAUUAAAACUUACACAUGAAUCACCAGCGACAACUUGUACUGUUUUGUGUUAUUGCCUAGGCUUUUAAGGGCAGAUUCAUUUUGAAACAUCAAUCCACUUACGUGCUUUCGUGCUGCCACAGCUCAGCUUUUUAUGGACUGCGAUGGUUAGGCUGACGCAAUAAAACUACGAUCCGUCCAACGUUCGAACUCCUGCAUGUGCCAGAAAGAUUUUCCUUCUAACAAAUUUUUUCUACAGACUGUUACAUAAUCGAGAAUGUUCUGAAGUCCUGAACGUGGAUGCUUCCAAGAAGCCUUAUAAAUAUCCUUUUGGUUGAACCAAGUAUUGGUUAUCACUAAGUCUAAUUCAUGACAUAGCUAUAACAGGAGAAUCCCAUUUACGUUGGGUUUCCCCAUUGCCUGACUUCCUUUGCUACUUCAAAGUUCAGAUUCACGUCCAAAACGGGAAUUUAUGUCUCCCAGAAAUAUAAGUUCGUUUUUCUUAUCAACACUUUUCAGAAUGUCUUUCAGAUCACCAUCAAAGUUAUUUCUUUCAUUCUUGGGACUGAAAAGUGUUGAAGCAUAGAACAGUAGUCAUUUUCAUGACUUGUUUUGAGUAAAGUUGCAACUGAAGCAUCAUUAUAGGUUCAGAGUGUAGCGGUAAUUCGAGGAGGAAUUACAACCGUGUUUCGUGGUCUGCUACCACAACAGCUCCUUUAUAGGAUCCAGUUAGCUCAAGACAUCAUCAGGAGGAACCACGUCCGGUUUCGGCCCCUACUCCUCUACCUUUUUGACGUGGCGGGGUCCCUCCUUUCGGAGGUGUCUUCAGCUCUGGUGUUGGGUGCAUGUCUUCUUUCUUCUUCUUUCUUCUCUUCCCUGGCCUCUUCGAUGUAUCGUCAGCGAGUGUCAGCCGGUGACUGACUGUCUUGUCAAAAUUCUCUCUUUAAAUACCUGCCGCAUAGUCUCCAGCAGGCAGCCCCAGCAAGUUGUCAUGUGACACUGUCUCACCUUAACUGACUAGUGAAGGCACGUAGUUUUAGCCCGUGCUUUUCCUAAACGACCUGCUAGGUAGCCGAUCAGAUAUCACGAUGAAACCACAGUAGUUUUAUGUGGUCGCUUUGUUAAGCAACCACUCAGCAUUAAGCAUUCGUAUAAUUCAAUCUUCUAGAAUUUUCUCUUUGUGCUCCAUAAAAAAGCGGUUUUGUGGUAAUUACGGAAUGUUGAGGCUGCAGUACGUUGUGUCUCUUUUCUCGCCACAUUCAGCCGAUUAAUACACCUGACUGAUAGUAGACAAACACUUCCUUCGUCACGAAUGUAGCACAAUUAGUUUCCAUGUGUGAUAGGCCAGCCAUAGAUUGCUAAAUCAGUAAGUUUGCUGUAAACUCUUGGCAGUAUGUUUCCCACAGUAUGUAAUUAUAGCUGUUAGUAUUUGUAAAAGACCAACAGAGAUUAAAUAUUCUGUUAACUAUUCGUGGUAGUCACUUAUUUCUGUACGCGACCUUCAAAAUACAUCCAGUUAGCUCAAGACGUCAUCAGGAGGAACCACGUCCGGUUUCGGCCCCUACUCCAUUCAACAACUCAAUCAUUUUAACGUCACGUCAAUUGACAACUACAAACAGCAACCACACCGACAUAACUCACAAGACAAACCAGGAGUCAAAUGCUGCACUAAAUGCGUUUUAACAGCGAAACCAAUCCCAAUUUCUAGACGCAAUUUGAUUCUCCCUUGUAAAAUAAGGUGUAACCAUACUCUCUUUCUUUUAACUGGCCAUCAUCAGAAAACUUUGUUUCUGAAAAUGUAUAUAUAUCGAGGUUAUAUCAACAAAACAAGCGCAGUUUCGUGAUAACUAAGGGUCUUUUAUUCCUGGUGGUUAUGUGUCUCACACUUCCAGCUACUGGAUGGUCGAUGACUGCUGAGCUCAUCCGUCCUUUGUUUUCCAUUUUACUGAAUGCCAAAUAAAACCCGACCUCCUUACCAAGCAGGCUUGAUAUGGUUGCCGGAUUAGUCACCGGGGACAGGUUGAACUGUGUUGCAUGUUACCAGUAGCUCUAACAGACACCUAACAUACAUUUAUUCAUGCGUACAUACAUUCAUAUAUAUACAUAAAAAAUGAUAAUACUCGUAUUAUUGAAAACACAAAACACUUCUUCCGCGAACAACAAGAAACAGGAUGAAGGCAAACAAGACAAUAACAAACCGCCGCCAUUACACGGACACAUACGAGGAAUUUACCCAUAGUAGAAAUUAUUUGAUUUAUAUUUAUUUCCUGACUUCCGAGAGUAUUUCUAUUUCUAUUUUUCAGCAUAUAUUCGCAUUAAAUAUGCAAAUAUAACUGCUUAUGAGUUUAAUCUCAAAUUACUAAAUAGUUCCAGGACAAAUACUGUAAUAAUAUUCUUGGACUCUUUCUAAGAUAGUAAUUAAAUAUGCAGAAAUAUAAACUGGGCGACUUUUUGCAUAAAUGUUUCUGAAACAAUCACUUGUACUCAACAGAAAAAUAUUGAGUAAGUAUCCACUUAGAAUAUUUGCUCAAUUGAAGGAAUUAGAAGCUAUUACAUUGCAAACAUUAGAAUAUUUGACUUUUAAAUAGAGAAUAUAGUUUAAAAGGAGUGGAGAUGAAUGUGGUGAUACGGUGAUUAUAUCAACCCCAACAGAAAAGCAAAUUAGACUGGCCAGGUAAAAUAAAGAACCUAACAAACAGUAAAGGAAUGACAUAUAACAUGUAUUACAACUGAAGAGGACAUCACAACGGCAUAUCAUGAUUGGAAGACACUAAAUAACAUGUCCCCACAAACAGCUGUUACAUAACGAUUUAGUGAAAAACCAAUUUAAUAAUGAUAUACGCCAAUACUAACAAAGGAACCGAUGAAUAAUCAAAUUAAAAGCGAAAAUAUGACAAUAAAUUUAAAAAAUGAUGUUUAAAAACUUACAUUUGAAAAAAAUAACCAUAAACGAGUAUGCUUGAUAGUAUAUCAAAUAAAAAGUGAAAUACCGAAAAGAUGUCACCCGAAUGAUCAAAGUGCUAAUACUAUACACUAAAGCUUGAUUGGGUCUUGAAGCAGCUGCCUAUAUUAUUGGAAUUUCAGUAUAUAUAUAUAUAUAUAUAUAUAUAUAUAUAUAUGUGUGUGUGUGUGUGUGUGUGUGUGUGUGUGUGUGUGUGUGUGUGUGUGUGUGUGUGUGUGUGUAUGUUUCAGUAUAUAUGUAAGUAUAUAUAUUUCAGUAUAUAUAUGUAAGUAUCUAAGCAUGUAUGCACAUCUAUCUAUCUAUCUAUAUAUAUAUAUAUAUAUAUAUAUAUAUAUAUAUAUAUAUAUAUAUAUAUAUGCAUAUAUAUGUGCAUAUAUAUAUAUAUGUAUGUAUCUAUGCAUAUACAUGCAAACAAACACACACACAUAUAAGUAUUAAUGUUUGUUUUUAUAUUUAGUUAUGAUAAAAGGUAAAAUAAAAGCAUUAAUUUGAGGGGUUACUCUAUACUUUUGUGGAGUACAAAUUUAUUCUUAAACAAGAAUGUUGUUGACAAUAACUUCGAUGUUUCAGCCAAUAAACCAUCAUAUAUAUAUAUAUAUAUAUAUAUAUAUAUAUAUAUAUAAUUAAAAUUUCAAAUUGAGGGUAAAAUUAAUUAAUUAUAAUCAAUUUCACCAAGUGUUCAGUAUGCAAAGGGACCAUUUAAGGCGAAUUCAAAUUAUUAUAUUAUAUAAAAGGGCUUAGUAAAAUAAAUUACUUUGCCGCAUACUGAACUCAUUAGAAAUAGCAGCUAAAAUCAAAUUCAAAGGUUAUUUGAGAACGUACGUUUCAAGAUUAGUCAACACGACACUUCUAUCAUCAGCUCAGAAACUCCUUGGUUUGGAUUUGAAAACACUGGAAGUGAGAGCAUACCCUUUCGGCUUCUCAUCGCUUUCGAAGAUCUGCUCGUAACUAACAGUGCCAACAAACUCAAAUAUGCAAGCGAAGAAUUUCUGUUCUCCCCUUUCCACCAGCGUGGGUUAAAAUCAGCAAACACUAUGCUUAUUUCGGUAAAAUCCGAAGCAUUAAUUAGAGGGAGAUUAAUUAUAAUUUCAACAAUUGAGGGUAAAAUUAAUUAAUUAUUAAUCAAUUUCACCAAGUGUUCAGUAUGCAAAGGGACCAUUUAAGGCGAAUUCAAAUUAUUACAUUAUAUAAAAGGGCUUAGUAAAAUAAAUUACUAUAUAUAUAUAUCAUAAACCUAAUUAAAACAUAAACUUUAGUAGAAAAAUCUGGUGAUUUUGAAUGUGAUAUUACAAAAAGAUCAGAUAUUUUAUACCAAAGCUUGCGUGGGUCUUGAAGUUGAUGCUUAUAUUGUAGGAAAUUCAAUUAAAGUACAUUUUUUUAACUCAUAAAAAUGAUCAAACGUCGAUGUGUUUGAAGUAGAGAUAACUUUUCUAUGCGUUGAUAAGAUCGCAAUUAUCAAAGCCUAACAUUCUGUUAGUGGCACUGUAAUCGAUACGAGAAAAUUGUUAUUUUUAAUAUCUUCAUUAACAUAAAGGCAGACACGGUCCGACAAAGUGGGGAAUACGAUAACAUCUUAAAUUCUGCUACAAAAAUGCUAUUAAGUUACGAGCAAAUUUUUUUUUCUUUACAUUGUUUAGCUUCAAUUCAUCGAAUAGAUGAUUAGCAUUCAUUCAGAUUACCAUACCUUUAAAGAUGUUUUGGCAGAAUCACACACACACAUACAUACAUACAUUCAUACAUACAUACCUAAAUGUAUAUAUACAUAUAUAUAUAUAUACAUAUAUAUAUAUAUAAAUAUAUAUAUAUACAUACAUACAUAUAUAUAAAUAUACAUAUAUAUAUAUAUACAUACAUAGAUACAUAUAUAAAUCGAAAAUAAACAGUCAACAAAAAUCAAUGGGAGGUACACAGUAAAUGUAUUAGGUUGUCGCUCAAUUUCGGAUGGAGAAAAAGAGGGUAUGUGUGACGUUUCGGACAUAAUGUUUCGUCAAAAUGAGGGAAGACGAAGGGUUCGGAGUGAAGGACAAAAUAGCCCAAGAAAAGCACGUGUGUAGUUGCAUGACUGAUGCGGCAUGUGUACAAGGAUGACACGCAAAUUCAUGAAGCGUUCCAUAUUUUUCGAAGGUGCAGGCAUGGCUGCGUUGUAAGAAGCUUGCUUCCCAUCUACACGUUUCUGGACUCAUUCUCACCGCAUGGUACCUUGGGCAAGUAUCUUCUAUUAAAGCUUCGGGCUAGUCAAAGCUCUGUGGGUGGCUUUGUAUGACGGAAACUGAAAGAAAAGUGCAUAUGUGUGUAUGUGUGUGUGUGUGUUUGUCUUUGUGUCUGUGUUUAUCCCUUCCCCAUCGCUUGACAACCUCUGUUGGUGUGUUUACGUUCAUGUAACUUAGUGUUUCGGCAAGAGAGCACGAUAAAAUAAGUACUAAACCUAAAAUUGUUAGUCCUGGGGAUAAUCUGCCCGACUAAAAUCCCUUAAGUCGGUGUCCCAGCAUGGCUGCUGUCAAAUGACUGAAACAAGUAAAAGAUAUGUGUGUGUAUACAAACAUACCCGCAUACAUACAUGCACAAUACAUACAUACAUGCAGUAAAGAGAUGAGAUCCCAAGAUUCCCGAUAUAGGAGGCACUUACUAACGCUCAAAUGAUUUGAAGUUGCGCUCCGAAACCUUUGCCGAUACUGCCGUACUCUAUAAAUGUUUAUUACCCAAGUUUAUGCUUCUGUAUCGGUAGAUGAUACUGUGAUGACAUAUUUGAACAACUGUUUAUGGUUGGUAUCAUCGGUGUUAACUUUACAAAGAUUGCAACGGUUAUCACAUUUUGGACACUUUGGUGUUUUUUCUGCGCUUCUAUCCCUUUUGUGAAUCAGUAUUUGGUUGAGAGUUCCCGUUCCUGGAUUGUGAACCCGUACCCUUCAAAGUGAGAGCUAGUAACCUGGCUGUCAGUCCUUGAUAGAUUGCUUUGAUUAUCAAUGUUACUAUCAUCCCUGAGCUUUCUGUUAACAUAUCCAUACUUGGUCUUCUGCUGAUAUCCGCUCAUUCUUUCAUAUGAUGAUAUGUUGCAGCUGUGUCGUGCGACGUCAUUAAUCAUGUAUUUAAGUUUAUCAAGAAUUUUGCUCGAGUAGCUGCUUUCAAAAUCUCGUGAUAAUAUCUGUUUCGUGUAUGUCAACUUUAUCUAGGGAUGCACUUCGACACUUGCCGGUAAAAAGAUGUUAACGAAGGGGUAUAUGGCAUUCAAAGUCAGUCUGGAUUGAUGAUAAGCCUCUGCCUCCUAGAUAUCGUCUUAGGCAGAGGCGGUCUCUAUCACUGUUGAUAUGAAAAUUGUUUUGUGCUGGUCGAAUGUAUGCAUGUAUAUGCGUCCAUGCAACUAUUUGAUGAGUAUUGGCAAAAGAAACUUCAUGUGUUAAACAAUGAUACCAUGGGGCAGUUAGUUCUUAGUUAUGCACCAUUUAUAUUUCUUAUGCCCUUGCAAAAUCAAUCAAGUAGACAAGGUGUUAUCGAUAUCUUUCGAUACGAGGUUCCUGAAUGAUUGAAAGUUGAAUAUGAAUACAAGAUUUAAUGUAUUUCAUUAAUACAGGGAUCAGAAAACACAUACCUGUUAGAUCCUGGUGUCGACUGAUUUGACUAUUCUCUCGAAAUAUAAAACCUUAUUUCUGUUAGUUGUCAUUUCGAAAAAGAUUAGGGUCAGUGUGCAUACGUGUUUGAGUGUAUAUCUAUGAAUGGAUGUAUGAAUAUAUGUAUGUUGUUGUAAAUAUAGAUAGGCAGAUAGAUGAAUAUAUAAAUAAAUACAGAUAUACAUACAGAGAUACAUUUACCUGUAUACGUACAUUUAAGUACAAAUGUAUAUGUGUGUGUGUGUGUGUGUGUACAUAUAUAUAUAUAUAUAUAAUCAGAAGCUUCAAUACUGCACUUGAAACAAUUCCACCUGACUCCAUAGAUUACAAGGUCAGACAAGACAUCAGCUAGUCAACAUGGAAAGAUGUUUAAUGCACCAACAGAAAAUAAAAUAGCUGUGAUUCUGGUUGGGCAAGAACAUGACAAGUGUGACAUUGUCCUCCACCUCAGAGACAGCACACUGACAGACACAGUCCAACUACAAAUGGAAGCUCACAAAAAUACCACACUCACAGCAUUCUUCAAGCUCUGUCAAGAUGAGGAAAUUGCUACAAGACUGCUAUACAAUGAAGUUCCACAAUUCUGUACCUGUUACCAAAGCAAAUGGAAAAGAUGUGCACUUGGGACACACACACAUCAUCCGGGAAUCAAGAAAUCAGGCACACUUGGCAGAGUCUAUGUCGUCCAUCCCAACUACUCAGAGUGCUACUAUCUAAGGCUUCUAUUACACCAUGUCAAGAGAUCCACAUCAUUUACAGCAUUACGUACGGUUGAUAACACAGUAUGUCAAACAUAUUGCAAGGAUUGCCGCACACUGAGAUGCCACUCUGAUAGAGGCGCAAAUGUGCAAAUCUCCUAUGCAACUGAGAAAUCUCUUCUCCAUCAGGCUUGUGAACUGUGGAUUGUCAAAUCCAAAUCAACUUUGGUACAAAACAAGGAAGGGCUUUCUGAAGACAUUCUUCAAAUAACUCAAUAUCAGUGUGACGGUGAUGUCACGUUCAAUGAUGACAUCUUCAAUGAGGCAUUAAGAUUAAUAGACCACAAUGUUCAAUCACUGGGUGGAAACAAACUUGAAAUAUGUUGUCUUCCAGCUCUUUUCAGAGAUGUUCAACUCAGAUUAGCACAAGAGCUAAUCAGGAAAACAUCAUACAACAUUAAAAUUUUGCAAGCAGUUGUCAAUGAAAGGGAACCAAUUCUGGUACAGGAUCAAAAGGAGGUAUACUGGCAAGUUCUUAUAUCUGUGGACAAUAACACUGGUAGGGUCUUCCUCUUAGAUGCUCCUGGAAGCACAGAAAGGCAUCAUUAAUCAACCUGCUCCUUGCCAAGGUGAGACAGAAGAAGAUUGCUCUGGUUGUUGCAUCCUCUGUAAUUGCAGCCACACUCUCAAAAGGUGGGAGAACAGUGCUGCCACUGGACCUCAUACAAAAUGAAUCUCCUUUAUGAAACAUAUCCAAGAAUAUAGCGUUAGCAAAGCUCCUUACAGAUAUCAAGCUCAAUGUCUGGGAUGAUGCAACAAUGUCCCAUAAGACAGCCUUUGAAGCGCUUGAUACAAUGCUACAAAACUUCAGAAACGAUAAGAAGAUCAUGGGUGGUGUCACCCUCCUCAAUACUAGUGACUUCAGGCAAACGCUGACUGUCAUUACCAGAGGAACAAGGUCAGAUGAGCUGAGUGUUUGCAUCAAGUCUUCAUAUAUCUGCCACAUGUGAAGCAGCUUACUCGUGUUCACAUUCAUUGUGACCCGUUAGUCGCACAGUUCUCCAACAAGUUACUUGACAUUGGAAAAGGAAAACUUCCACAAGAUCCAGAAGAUAGUCUGCCCCCACCUCCCAUAUGGCAAUAUGACUGCCUCCCUUGAAGACCUGAAGAGCAAGGUGUUUCCGAACAUUGCCACAAACUAUAAAAGUCACAAGUAGCUAUAUGAAAGAACAAUUCUGGCACCAAGGAAUGAUGCUGUAGAUUAGCUGAAUCUAAAUUUGUUGUCUCAGCUUCUAGGACCCGAAUGUUCAUACAGAUCUAUUGACUGUGUCCCUGGUCAAGAACAAGCAACGCAUUACUCAGUGGAAUUCCUCAAUUCACUUCAGCCACCAGGAUUUUCACCACAAAUUCUGAUCAUGAAAACAGGUGCUCCCAUAAUGCCAUUAAGAAAACCUUGAUUCACCCAGACUCUGCAAUGGAACAAGGUUCGUUGUUAAAUCAGCUAUGCUCCAUGUGUUGGAAGCAACAAUAAUUACGGGCAACACGAGAAUGUAAUCAUUCCCAGGGUACUUCUCAUCUCAAAUGAUCUCCCAUUUCAGUUCAAGUAACUGCAGUUUCCUAUCAAACUUAGCUUUGUAAUUUCAAUCAACAAAGCACAAGGUCAAUCUCCAAAUGUGGUGGGACUUAACCUCCUUCAACCUUACUUCUCACACUGUCAGAUGUAUGCUGGAUGUUCUAGAGUUGGAAAUGAAAAGAACCUCUACAUCAUUCUCAGUGAUAAACAUGGCAAGACAAAACACAGUAUAUGAAGAAGCACAUACAUGAAUAGUAGGUCCAUAUCAUGUACAGAAGUGUAAAACCAUUUCACUUUUCGACAGACACGCGUGAAUGUAUAUCUGUGUGUAUAAAAGUCAGACAAUAACAGAAUAUAUUCCCUGCCUGUGUGUGUGUGUUUGUACUCUACGCACGGCCUUUCAUUGUUUAUAAUCUGUACUUGUUUGUUGGUUACGAAAUAAGUUAGACAAACAUGUAUUUACUUUAUAUACAGAUAUGAGUUGAAAACUUUCUUUUCACAUUUCAUUUAAUGUCUAUGUUCCAGGCUGACAUGGGUUGCAGAGUUACGUAGAAAGUUUGUAUCUCAACUACUACCAGUUGUGGCCGUAGUUUAUAGGCGGUCAGAAGAUGGAAGGAAGACAAUAAAUAGAAGUGUAUCUUUGGUGCUAAAAUUCCAUUAUUCAAUUAGUUAAGCAAUAAUAGCUUUACUCUUCUAUUUCUUUUUUUUCCUCCAUUUUCUGAUCGUCUCUUUCUCUCUCUCUCUCUCUCUCUCUCUUAUAUAUAUAUAUAUAUAUAUAUAUAUAUAUAUAUAUAUAUAUAUAUAUAUAUAUAUCUGUGUCUCUCUCACUCUCAAGAUAUAUAUAUAUAUAUAUAUAUAUAUAUAUAUAUAUAUAAGCAUAUAUAGUCCCUGGUACACCGUUUACAUUGUAUAAUAAUAAUAUUAUGUAAUCUAUCAUGUAAUCUUUUACUGCAGCAUUAAAUAAAGUUCUACCGAAGCAACUAUCGCUAAUUUAAUCCCCAACUCUGUUUAAUUUUCUUAUACUUACACCGCACCAAAGAUACACCGGUGAGUCGGAACGUCGGUUAUUAACUGGAUUUGAUAUUUACGUAAUUAUGAUAUCGUAUCAGCACCUGAUAUCUACAUCGUGUGUGUGUGUGUGUGUGUGUGUGUGUGUGUGUGUGUUUGCAUGCGUGCGUUUGUGUGUGUGUGAGCCCGCGCGCCUGUGUGUAUUGAAAAUAAAGAGAAAAUGCACUGCAAUCUUCCUGAUAUAUAUUUUCGAAGAAUGACUCCAAGAACAUACAAUUAUAGUGAACGACAGAUAUUAUCCACUAUUCCCAGUAGAGGAUGGAGAACACAAAGCAGACAAGUAAAACAAUACAGCACACGGGAAGAAAAAGUGUCGCCAUAUGUCUCAGCUCAAAAUCCUAGAAAUAACGAUGUCUAUUAUAUUAUUUUAAAGUUUUAACGGUUGUGAAAAUGGAUGCCAAGCUGUAUCGGAUUCUAUAUCUACACAAUUACAAAAAGUGACAAACAACUACAAACAUUAAACAGAACAAUAAGAGAUGAUCAAUUACAUUCAACAACAAAAGUACCAUAAGUCAAGAAAUGGGGAUGUCGUAACUCUAUAAAUUAUCUGAAAUCAUCCGGAUUGUGAGAUUUCCAUUUUAAACACGGGCAAAAUUUCGAAAUAUAGACUGGUUUUACCUGCGUCAUCGGACUCCUAAUACCUGUUUGUCCUAUAUAUUUUUUUCCAUCCUGGAUGGAAAAAAUAUAUUGGACAAACAAGUAUUAUGAAAACGCAUGACAUUACAUAAAGAGCCAAUGUUAUUUUGCAUCCACAGCAGAACUCCCAUUGAACAUAUUCGUACAUGUGUUUGGAAUCACCAGCAGUAUAAUUAUUACUGUGUAUCAAUUUCCUGACAGAAUAUCUGAACAACCGAAGAUAGAAAUGAAAAAUGCAUUUAUUGAAAAAUAUCGACUGCGCUUAAAUAUGAAAACGAAUUUAUUUUCAUUGUAUUUGUAUUCAAUAACUUUUAAUUAAUUUCAAUUGCAUUAAUGAUUUAUGACCACCUUUAUACUUAUUUAUAUUAUUUAUAGAAGGAAGUUAAUAUCCAUUAAUUACCUCCCGGAUGACUGUCGAUAACGAUCGCAUCACCUACAACAGCUACUCAAAAAAUCAAAAAAUUAUAACAGAUGUGAUAAAUUCAUGGAGAUCUUUAGAAAAAGUGAAGUUACUUGGUUACAUAACGAUUACACUUAAUAUAGAAUAUUUACCACCUCGAGAAUUUCUGGAUUUUUCAGUACACACUCACACACGCACACACACAUUUACAUACACACACUCAUAUACACAUACACACACACACACACACACAAACACACACACACAUACACACACACAAAUGCACACACAUACACACAGACAAACACACAGGCACACAUAUACACACACAUACACACACACACAUACACACACACACUCAAAUACACAUAUUGCAUAUAUAAAAGUUAAUGUAUGCUUCACUUUGUAAGGUACAAUUUUAUAUCUUGGAAGCAGUAUAAAAUGAACCCACAUGGAUCCGAGUUCAGUCCCACUGCUUGGCACUUUUAUAGCCUCGGGCCAACCAAAGCCUUGUGAGUGGAAUUGGUAGACAGAAACUGCACGCGUGUGUAUACUUGUGUGUGUGCGUGUAUGUGUAUGUUUGUGUGCCUGUGUUUAUUCCUCCAACAUCGCUUGACAACCGAUGUUGGAGUGUUUACGUCCUCGUACCUUAGCAGUUCGGCAAGAGAGACUGAAAGGAAUAAGUAUUGGGCUUACAAAGAAUAAGUCCUGAGGUCGAUUGGUCGUCUAAAGGUGAUGCUCCAGCAUGGCCGCAGUCAAAUGACUGAAACAAGUAAAAGAAUAAAAGAAAAGAACAGUAGUGCAUUUUUCAUAUAGAAAGUCACACGCAAUUUUCAUGCUUCCUAUUUUCUUAGACAAAACAAGCAUUAUUGUGUGCAUGCAAGCGUGCAAUUAAUAUUGAGAACUGUUACUAAUUAGAAAACUAAGCAGUUCCAAAAAUUAUGUAAAUCAUAACAGUAUUUUUUAGAAAAUGUAUAUAAAAAAUGUAUAGGCGCAGGAGUGGCUCUGUGGUAAGUAGCUUGUUUACCAACCACAUGGUUCCGGGUUCAGUCCCACUGCAUGGCACCUUGGGCAAGUGUCUUCUACUAUAGCCUCGGGCCGACCCAAGCCUUGUGAGUGGAUUUGGUAGACGGAAACUGAAAGAAGCCCGUCGUAUAUAUGUAUAUAUAUAUAUAUGUGUGUGUAUAUGUUAGUGUGUCCGUGUUUGUCCCCCCUAGCAUUGCUUGACAACCGAUGCUGGUGUGUUUAUGCCACCGUUACUUAGCGGUUCGGCAAAAGAGACCGAUAGAAUAAGUACUGGGCUUACAAAAGAAUAAGUCCCGGGGUCGAGUUGCUCGAUUAAAGGCGGUGCUCCAGCAGGGUCGCAGUCAAAUGACCGAAACAAGUAAAAGAGUAAAGAGUAAAAGAGUAUACUCCUGAAAAAUAAAAGACAUGCAGAAUAAAAUUAUGAUUUAUUUUCUUGAUAAGUUUGGGGCGUUCACAUUUUAUUUAUGAAAAUCAAAUUGAACUACACUUGCGUCAGAAAUUAAUUAACACUUCCCAAAUUUCUACAUUAAAUAGGUUAAAUCAAUUAACCUAUGAGCUGUUCAAAACGUCUUACGCGAUGAGAAAACUU
rnacentral:lncRNA from 1 species